GACGUAGGGCGCGAGCGUUGUCCGGAUUUAUUGGGCGUAAAGCGCGCGUAGGCGGCCCGGUAAGUCCGCUGUAAAAGUCAAAGGCUCAACCUUUGAAUGUCAGUGGAUACUGCCGGGCUAGAGUCCGGAAGAGGCGAGUGGAACUCCUGGUGUAGCGGUGGAAUGCGCAGAUAUCAGGAAGAACACCGACGGCGAAGGCAGCUCGCUGGGACGGUACUGACGCUGAGGCGCGAAAGCGUGGGGAGCGAACAGG
rnacentral:rRNA from 1 species